UUCCGGUUGAUCCUGCCGGACCCGACUGCUAUCAGAGUGAGAUUAAGCCAUGCGAGUUAACGUAGCAAUACGUGGCGCACGGCUCAGUAACACGUAGUCAACAUGCCCAGAGGACGUGGAUAACCUCGGGAAACUGAGUCUAAACCGCGAUAAGUGAGGAUUUCUGGAAUGGUUCCUGACUAAAAUCUAUAUGGCCUCUGGAUUGGACUGCGGCCGAUCAGGCUGUUGGUGAGGUAAUGGCCCACCAAACCUGUAACCGGUACGGGCUCUGAGAGGAGGAGCCCGGAGAUGGGCACUGAGACAAGGGCCCAGGCCCUAUGGGGCGCAGCAGGCGCGAAACCUCUGCAAUAGGCGAAAGCCUGACAGGGUUACUCUGAGUGACUUUCGCUAAGAAAGUCUUUUGGCACCUCUAAAAAGGGUGCAGAAUAAGGGGUGGGCAAGUCUGGUGUCAGCCGCCGCGGUAAUACCAGCACCCCGAGUGGUCGGGACGAUUAUUGGGCCUAAAGCAUCCGUAGCCGGUUCUGCAAGUCCCCCGUUAAAUCCAGCUGCUCAACAGAUGGGCCGCGGAGGAUACUACAGAGCUAGGAGGCAGGAGAGGCAAGCGGUACUCAGUGGGUAGGGGUAAAAUCCGUUGAUCCAUUGAAGACCACCAGUGGCGAAGGCGGCUUGCCAGAAUGCGCUCGACGGUGAGGGAUGAAAGCUGGGGGAGCAAGCCGGAUUAGAUACCCGGGUAGUCCCAG
rnacentral:rRNA from 1 species